AGGGAUCUUGCCUGAAGUUUCCAUCGACCCGAUGAAAGUGGUGGAAGACGCCGUGUUGGAGAUGUCAGACAAGAAGGAUUUGUUCGUGGCUUACAUGUCCAGCAUGCUGGUUGGUGAACCAGGUGAACCUGUCACCCCACCAGUUGUAAAUGUAGUAACUGAAAAAGAUGAAACUGUGGCUCCCCCGUCUGAUAUAAAGUUGGUAGAAAGGAAAG